GGAUUAGAUACCCUGGUAGUCCACGCUGUAAACGAUGAGUACCAGUUGUUAAAUUCGGUGUAAAGGAUUUAGUAACGUAAUUAACGUGUUAAGUACUCCGCCUGGGGAUUACGGUCGCAAGACUAAAACUCAAAGGAAUUGACGGGGACCCGCACAAGCGGUGGAGCAUGUGGUUUAAUUCGAUGCAACGCGAAAAACCUUACCUGGUCUUGACAUCCUAUGAAUUUUUUAGAAAUAAGAAAGUGCCUUUUAGGAACAUAGAGACAGGUGCUGCAUGGCUGUCGUCAGCUCGUGCCG
rnacentral:rRNA from 1 species